CAGCUGCACCUGUGUAAUGCCUAGAGCCCCUGGGGAGGGCUCAAGACAGAACCCCCGAUACCCUGUAACAGAGGUCCGCUUGCUCACGGUCUCACAACUUUGUGAAGCUGGGCUCUAAUCCAGACACUCCUUCAUUUCUUUCUGGGCAGGCUGGAGUAGCCAUUUUUAGUUUGAGGCCAGUCCGUUGUGGUUGCUAAGACGUGGUGGCCAGAGACUGAGGCUUCACAUCUGUGUGGCUCGGGCAGGAGAGAAGCUGUGGAGAACCUCCAAGUGCUGGGGGAAGGAAGCUAACUGACGGAGAAAUGAGGGCGAGAGGCGGUCUGGAGUGCUGCUAACUUGCCUGAAAGUGAGGCAGCGUCAAAUCUCGACCUUCAGAGCCCUAAGGACUGGGGCGUGUGAGUGCCCGUGUGUCUCCUCUCUCCUGUUCUGCCUUCGAGAGCUGUAUGCUGCCCCCACCCCGGUUUCUUUACUGGUUUUGAGAUCAAAGCCCCAUCAAGAACCUGAGAAGAACUCUUACCGGGGAGGCCGGGGAGGCUGGUGGAGGUUGGCAGAGGGACAUCUGUGCUGCUUGCAGUCGGCCUCCUUGGUCCUCCUCACUCUCUACCGCUCACAUAGAAUCGUCUCAAUCAGUUGAGCCAGCGUGUCACUGAAAAGUCCCUCGCUUCAGUCAGCGUGCCCUUCCCUGUGUGCCGUGUCUCUCCACCAUGUCACGGGUGCCCGGCUGUGCUGGUGAGUUCUACCUGUUCACGGGACACAGCCUACAACCACCUUGGAAGGGUUUCAGUGAGGAAUUCCCUAGAUCAGGUGGGCCUGUGGGGGACUGGAUGGAGGAAGACCCAGGCCACUGCGAGCAGCAUGGUUCUCCAGGCUGGGGCUUGAAGUAUGUAAAAGUAAAGACGGCCAGCAAGAGAUCAAGCAAGCAAAGGCGAAAUUACUCUUUUUGUUGUUGACUGUGGGUGUUAUGUGAGUAGGAGCUUCGAGCUUUGGCCUCCAUGUCUCCCCAGCGAGAGACGAAACCUGGAACUUUACACUGGUAUAAACCCUUCUCUCCCUCAGGUUGCUUUUGAUCAAGGUGUUCUUUCACAGCAACAUAAGAGAAACCAAAAGGUAACAAGGAAACAGCUCUCUCGGAGAGUGAUUUAAAGUAACUGUUUUAUCAGGGGUGUUACUUAAAACCACAGAGAGGGAAUUCCUGAACACUUAGUUGGAAACGCUCACUCUUGUGAUAAAUUAACCUCUAAAUACUGGUGACUUAACUCAAUACAAAGCCAGUGAGUCAUUUGGUAUCAUUCAAAUGCAAUUUGCCAGGCUAGAGAAUAUGUGCUCCAUUCGGUCUACACAGGCCCAUGAUCUUUCUGUCUUGUGAGUCUCCAUAUUCAGUUCAAGGCUCCAGGAAUCUCUGAGGAAAGUGAAGCCAGUAGAUGACUUCAUGGUGAGCCUAAGUCACAUGGCCCCUACCAAACCGGAAACAUGCUAACACAUGAGUCCAGCUGGGAACCUGAAAGGAAAGAGAAGUGAAGUCAGUGAACACAUGACCACUCAUCCACCAUACUUGAUACGGCAGAGAGGGUCCUGUUAGCUUUGAUCCUCUGUUACUUACUUGUCCUUAGGCCUUGGGCCUCAAUAAUGAGGGUAACACCAGGCAAAGCAUUUUGGAAGUUUUUUUUUAAUGAUUUACAUGCUAUUUGAACAUCUAUGAGCUAAUUCGGUGGCCACAUUCAUUCUUCCUUCUCCUUGGCCUCUUUCUCCUUCUCACCAUUAGACAGUAUUUCACUUUUUUUUUUACUUAUCACAUUUUAUUUACUUGUGGGGAAUGGGCACAGCAUGUGUGUGGAGCUCAGGGGACAACUUUCAGGAGUUUUCUCUUUCUACCAUGUGGAUCCUGGGGAUCCAACUCAUGACCUCGGGCUUGGGGGCAGGUGCCUUUAUCUGCUGAGCAGUCUCACCAGCCUGUGGUCACAUUAUGCUGCCCACACUGACCUUUAGCUCAUGGUCUCGAGUGGUCAUUCCCCACUCAGCCCCGUCUUUCUGGGUAGCAGCACCUCUUGGCGGUGUCACUUGCUUAUGGGGGCAGUUUGGGAAGACACUGAGGACACUCGGACAGCCACGUAGACAGGAUGUGCUGUGGGAAGGUGUGAGUAGGGUUAAAAGAAGCCAGGUGCACAGUGCGAACCUUUCCCGUGACUUUGGAGCAUACAACUGGAGCUUCGGUCAUCAUCAACAAUUAUCAGAACUUGUAUUGCAUCUUAAGUUCAUCUUUCUCCCUUAAGGUUUUGUAAAAGCCGCUCUGUACCUCUGUUCUCCCACAUUAGUGCGCAAUAUGCUCUCUGCUUUACCUUCAGUCAGGAUCUGCUCAGCACAAGUCAGUGUGAGUGUGCGGGGACCUCAUUCAAUGGCAAUUGUGUCAGAGAUGCCUGUGUAAAACACACAUCGAUAUAUCGAUUUUGUUGCUGUUGUUGUUUUGAAGUAGGGUCCUGCAAUAUACCCCUGGAUGGCCUCCUAUUAGAGAAAAUUCUCCUGCCCAGACCCAGCUAGGUUUGUUUUGGAACUGCAUGAGUGAUAUAUAGGGCUUCUCAUAUGUGAAUUUUGUUUCAAUAUGGUAAACAUGUCAUCACAAAGAAUUGUUAAUAAGCAAUGACAACCAAAUAAAACAUUAUAUUUAUUA